UUUCCGUAGGUGAACCUGCGGAAGGAUCAUUAACACGAAUUAUUUAUUAUCCAAUAUCAAAAACCAAACGUGAACCUUUUCCCUCCCUAUAUAUAUAUAUAGGCUAACCUCAUUUAAUUAAUUUUUAACACUUUAAACCUUAACUAGUUUUAAUGUAGCCAUUAAAACAUCUAAACUAAAAAAGACAAGGUUAUUCGAAAGAGUAAACUUUAACUUUUUUCGAUUUACGAAAAAUUUAAAAGAACAACUCUUAACAAUGGAUAUCUUGGUUCUC
rnacentral:misc_RNA from 1 species